AAGUUUUUAGUUUAAUAAAAACAAUCAUAUUUGCAGUGUGAUAAUUAAUCUGAAGGUUAAAAACUUA